UACGGAGGGUGCGAGCGUUUGUCCGGAAUCACUGGGCGUAAAGAGCGUGUAGGCGGCUUGGUAAGUCCGCUGUGAAAGUCCAGGGCUCAACCCCUGGAAUGCCGGUGGAAACUGUCAAGCUUGAGUCCGGAAGAGGCGAGUGGAAUUCCUGGUGUAGCGGUGAAAUGCGCAGAUAUCAGGAGGAACACCAAUGGCGAAGGCAGCUCGCUGGGACGGUACUGACGCUGAGACGCGAAAGCGUGGGGAGCAAACAGG
rnacentral:rRNA from 1 species